rnacentral:rRNA from 1 species
ACGCUCGACACCUACGGGAGGCAGCAGUGGGGAAUAUUGGGCAAUGGAGGAAACUCUGACCCAGCAACGCCGCGUGAAUGAUGAAGGUCUUUGGAUUGUAAAAGUUCUUUUCUAAGGGACGAAGAAAGUGACGGUACCUUAGGAAUAAGCCUCGGCUAACUACGUGCCAACAGCCGCGGUAAUCUGAGGCGGGCUGGCAAGGC